rnacentral:lncRNA from 1 species
ACACAGUGGAGCUACCGAGGGCCGUGUUUAAACAAGCCAUAAAAAUGAGUUAUGACCGAACACGCACCCGCUCUCACGGUUUUUUUUUAAAAGGGCUACAAAAUCAGAGGGUAGUCCCGUAUGAAAAUGUAAGUGGGGUUUUUAUUUGUGCGCAUUACGACACAAUUGCUCUCCUUAAUGUCCGUCUCGUUCAUGCCACGCGGUGAUUUAUGGGCUCCCGAAGGCGAACGCGGC